rnacentral:rRNA from 1 species
UAAGCAAGGUGUGAAAGCGUGUGGCUCAACCAUACAGACAUGCUUUGAACUGCUCAGCUUGAGGGCGAGAGAGGUUACUAGAAUUCCUAGUGUAGGAGUGAAAUCCGUAGAUAUUAGGAGGAAUACCGAUGGCGUAGGCAGGUAACUGGCUCGUCCCUGACACUAAGGCACGAAAGCGUGGGAGCAAACGGGAUUAGAUACCCCGGUAGUCCACGCCGUAAACUAUGGGUGCUA